GAGUCCAAGAUCCAUGUUUUCCCCUAAGAUAAUAGAAUUAUAGGACCAGAAGGGACCUUGAGAGGUUUUCUAGUCCAGUCCCCGCACUCAAGGCAGGAGUCCAAUUUCUAGGUUUGACUAAGGCAAAAUGAAACAUUUCUUCACUUCCACAUGAGAAUGAAGCGUGAUGUGGAUGAAAAUUAUUCAUCUACCGCCUGUUAUUAAAUGUUGAAUAGGUACCUCUGAAUAAAGGAACCCAGCUUUGGUAAAAACAGGGCUUGCAACUUGACAAGAUCCAGGAUCCUUGAAGCUAACAGGUUAUCCCACUGUCUUUCAAGUGUAUGCCUGGAUGCUUUUAUCUGAGGGAUCUACUAUUUCUCUAAUGAAACCUCAGAAGAAUAUGGAGGGCGGAUUACACUAAGAAUGGGAGGCAGUCUCAUGUUUCAGCAUGAUGCUUACCUCAAGACGACUUAUUGACAUUACUAUGAAGGGGAGAACUCUUAUUUGCUGUGACCAGAAGAUCAGUUUCAAUAAAGAUCAUCUCCUAGGACUGGACAGGGGAGAAGAGUAGAUGAAGCCAGUGGUUACAAACUCCAGUUUUAAACAACAAAAUGGAGCAGCUCAAAUAUGUCAAAAAUCUAUUUGCAUUUACUUAAAAAGAGAGCAAGACGACGAGACUGCUGCAGCUCAGAUCAGAGUUCUAUCUCUAGUUCUGAUGCACAUGACAGGUUGGCCAACUCACACUGUGGUUCUACUUGGAAAAGUGACAGUAGGAAUUCUAUUAUGUUGUGCCAUUGUUUAUUCUCGCCAAAAUUUCUGUAAGGAAGAACUCCGUUUACAAAUAAGCAUGUUUUUUCUGGCUAGCAGGUUUACCGAGUCACCCCAGUCUCAAUCAACCAGGCUUCUUCCCUUUCCACACACCAGCACCCUUCACGAAGGUUCUGCAGGCCCAGCUGGACCUUCACUUAUACCUGUGCAAUCACAAUCUACAGGACUGCCUAGAUGUAACCAAGUAGAACCGUGUAAACAAUUCUGCUGACAUUGCACCAGAAAAACAACCCACAAAUCAGCUUCACUCUCUGCAGCAGCAUCGGUUUGGCACUGAAAGGAGUAGAGCAGUACAAAUUUCACUAACGUAAGAAGACUGAAAACACGUGUGAUUCACCAUUACCCUGUGAUCCCAUUCACACUGGGUGCAGAAAAUCAUCAUUCUGAAUUGGUAGCACCCACUUUGCACUGGUGUAACAGACCACACAAGUUGCAAGGCAAUGGUAAUUUACAUCAACAGGGAGCUGUUGUAGUAAGAAAGUGCUAUUUUAUAGUAACUCGUCAGUGAAGAAGUGCACUUUCUCCUCUGCCUCAAGUUACUACGGACAUUUAGUCACAGCCUCAAGCUGGCCCCUUGUUAAAAUAUGUUUAGCCUGACCACUUUCACUAUCACUUUUUGUACAGAUGCUUUCCAUUGAAGUAACCAUCUUAGUGCAAAAUGGUCUUCAAAAGCUAAGGUCAUCUACCUCUAAGUACUUAAAGGAUAGAAAACUGGGUUAGACACUUUUUGGCUAAAAUACUUGGUGUUUCAAAUAUGCAUCUCACACAAACACAGGUUUUUAGCAUCCAUCAGUAAGAACCCUGUAUAACAAAAUUUGAUGUAUGGGUCAUCACCUAAAUAGCCACAGAACCCAGAAACAUUGAGAAUUAUUAGCCCAGCAGGAAUUGCACUAGUAAAAGUUUUGUUAAAAUACUUUAAAAUGAUCAGCCUGGACUGAUCGAGUGGGUCAAGACAACAGAUAAUCCAUUAGAAGGGAGAAAGAACUUUUAAAAAAAAAAAAAAGUUUCAUCUCUUGAUUUAUAUUUUUUUUUUAAAUUUUAUUUUUCAACAUGACUAAGAGUGAAAAUAAAACAUUCUUAUCAGGAUUUCUGCAGUAUGUGAAUCAGCACAAUAUUUUCCAUUACAAAAGGUUAUUAAAAGUUAGUCUUAGUCUACACUUCAUUGUUGUUUAUCAGGUAUUGUUUUGGUGAGCUUGGGUACAGUCUUAAGUCCAUUUUCUUUCUUUGCCCAUUAAAGGGGUUGUCAUGUACAUCUGCAUUUCUUACUGUCCUUGAUUGUCCUCUUGACUGGAGACGAGACGUUCACAGUAACUUUUAUGAAAAUUCAAUACUAGAAAGCCACAUAGAUACAAACAUCCAAAAUGGUCUUUGAUUUCUUGGCACAUUAGUAAUGUCUCCUUAAUAGUAGUGAUCUAUUAGGCCAGAUCCUGUCCCAACUUCCUUUGUACUAUCCGAAAGUUAUUAAUAGGCCAAACCAGAGUAGGGGAAAUCCUUAAUUAGCAAAGAGUCCAUCAUUAUACCGCCCUUUCCUGGCAUAGUCACACACCUCAAGGAGGAAGGGAUGGAUCCAGAAUCUGCUACAUUCCCACAUUCCUAGUACUACUACGAACCAGAGUAAUUUGAGAGCAGUUGAGAGGCUACUCUAAUUUCUGACGCAGGUCAGUCUGGCAGUGCAGUGUGACCAUGUCUUAAAGUCACCUUUGCCAGCCCUUCACCCUAAGCUGUUCUUUCCAUUUGGCAAGUGCUGAAAAGUUCUUUAAACUAUUUUAGUUAAGAAUUCCAGCCUAUUUGUUUCUUCUGAAGAGCAAUUCAGUCUUUUCUACUUAACUGACCUUUCAUUACUGCCUGCCAUGCAUUGCACAGCAGACCCUUUUUAAUAUUACAUUUAUCAAGUUCAGAGCAUUGAAGGACAGUUGAAUAGGUUCUUUUCUUCGGGGAUUCCGCAAAAGGAGAUGGUGGUUUCAUAGAUAAUACACUAUUAGUUUAAAAAGAGUGGGACAGGGCAUGAUCUGUGGUAUUUUCACAAUACUGCUUUCACCUAAUUGAAAGAUUGUCUCUAUAGUUUUUGCUUGCAGAAAUAGUAUGUAAUCAUUCAAAUUUAGAUUUCUCCAGUCAUCUAUAAAACCUUCUAAAGGAAGGAGAAGAGAGGCUCUGUAGGCCCUGUUUGUUACUACCUCACUUGCUGUUGUCAUAUUUCAAGCUGCCUUUGUGGUAUCCUGCAAUGAGUGAAGGAACCUUUAUUCAGGGACUCUCUUUAUUCCCAGUAUGGUUCAUUUUUUCCAUUACGCCCAUCUCCGUUUUAAACAUGUGCAAGACAAUUUCUAACUGCUUGAUUCUGGACUAUGUAUUCAAUAUUGCAUCAGUAUUCUCCCAUGCUCCAGAAAAGGGUUAAUAGGGAGAACAAGAACUUGGCUUUUCUAUGAAAUGACUGCAGGAAAAGGA